AACACUGAGCCUUAUUUUCAAGAAUUUGCGGAUGUUGACAGAAGUGAAGAAUUUUGACCGAUUUCAAGUCUUCACCUCAAGCACAGGAGCCCUACACCAAACGAAUGCUGGAGAAGUAACGUAAUCCAGCAUGUUCCAGUGCCAAAUGAACAGGGAGGCCUGCACUCUCUACUUCAAAGCAAAGCAGCAGUGUUAAGUUACCUAAGGAACACAGGCAAACAGGAUAAUUUAAAGUCCAGGAGUCUGCUUGUCAAAGUUUGUGUCAGUCACUUGGUGGAGAAGGGUGAAUUGGUCGGAUUAAAGGAAAAGGAGAUGGAUUUCAGUGGAGAUGAAGAUCAGGCAUAGGUCGUGGAUAUCGAAGGGGACUUCUACAAUCUUUGAGUACCCAUGCUUCUUGAAUAUGCCAAGUGUGGUAGGUCUCAUUGCAGUUCAGUCUUUACUUAUUUUCUUCCGUUACUUAAAGGGAUAGUUCAACCAAAAAUGAAAAUU